UGCAGUCGAACGGUAAGGCCCCUUCGGGGGUACACGAGUGGCGAACGGGUGAGUAACACGUGGGUAAUCUGCCCUGCACUUCGGGAUAAGCCUGGGAAACCGGGUCUAAUACCGGAUAUGAACUCCUGCCGCAUGGUGGGGGUUGGAAAGUUUUUCGGUGCAGGAUGAGCCCGCGGCCUAUCAGCUUGUUGGUGGGGUAAUGGCCUACCAAGGCGACGACGGGUAGCCGGCCUGAGAGGGUGAUCGGCCACACUGGGACUGAGACACGGCCCAGACUCCUACGGGAGGCAGCAGUGGGGAAUAUUGCACAAUGGGCGAAAGCCUGAUGCAGCGACGCCGCGUGGGGGAUGACGGUCUUCGGAUUGUAAACCCCUUUCAGUAGGGACGAAGCGCAAGUGACGGUACCUGCAGAAGAAGCACCGGCUAACUACGUGCCAGCAGCCGCGGUAAUACGUAGGGUGCGAGCGUUGUCCGGAAUUACUGGGCGUAAAGAGCUCGUAGGCGGUUUGUCACGUCGUCUGUGAAAUCCCUCGGCUUAACCGGGGGCGUGCAGGCGAUACGGGCAGACUUGAGUACUACAGGGGAGACUGGAAUUCCUGGUGUAGCGGUGAAAUGCGCAGAUAUCAGGAGGAACACCGGUGGCGAAGGCGGGUCUCUGGGUAGUAACUGACGCUGAGGAGCGAAAGCAUGGGUAGCGAACAGGAUUAGAUACCCUGGUAGUCCAUGCCGUAAACGGUGGGCGCUAGGUGUGGGGUCCUUCCACGGACUCCGUGCCGUAGCUAACGCAUUAAGCGCCCCGCCUGGGGAGUACGGCCGCAAGGCUAAAACUCAAAGGAAUUGAC
rnacentral:rRNA from 1 species